CAGCUAGUUGUCAGUCGCUUUCAACUCUUCAAUAUACCAGUGGGACCAUAAGAGGUCCAGGAUAUCCUGGCAAGUAUCCAAACAACGUCGUGUACUGUUGGCGUAUCUACGUUCCACCGAACUAUGUGGUUAAACUCAAUAUUAAUUAUCUCCAAUUGGAGGCCUGUUCCGGAUGCAGUUGUGAUUCAGUGGAAGUGUUUGAUGGUUACUCCGCCCUUUCAACUAGACUUGGAAAAUUAUGCGCGAGAAGUUGGCGGGUAACAUCUUCUGGACGGUAUCUUUUUGUAAAGUUUACUUCAGAUGCCUCAGGAACAGGAUCUGCCUUCUCAGCGUCAUAUUACAGAGCCGUUAGAGGUA